rnacentral:rRNA from 1 species
UACGUAGGGUGCGAGCGUUGUCCGGAAUUACUGGGCGUAAAGAGUUCGUAGGCGGUUUGUCGCGUCGUUCGUGAAAACUUGGGGCUUAACUCCGAGCUUGCAGUCGAUACGGGCAGGCUAGAGUUCGGCAGGGGAGGACUGGAAUUCCCGGUGUAGUGGUGAAAUGCGUAGAGAUCGGGAGGAAUACCUGUGGCGAAGGCGGCCUACUGGGCCGGACCUGACGCUGAGACGCGAAGGCGUGGGGAGCGAACGGG